GACGAACGCUGGCGGCGUGCUUAACACAUGCAAGUCGAGCGGUAAGGCCCUUUUGGGGGUACACGAGCGGCGAACGGGUGAGUAACACGUGGGUGACCUGCCUUUAGCUUCGGGAUAAGCCUGGGAAACUGGGUCUAAUACUGGAUAUGACUCCACGGUGCAUGUCGUGGGGUGAAAGCCUUGUGCGGCUGAGGAUGGGCCCGCGGCCUAUCAGCUUGUUGGUGGGGUNAGGCCUACCAAGGCGACGACGGGUANCCGGCCUGAGAGGGCGACCGGCACACUGGGACUGAGACACGGCCCAGACUCCUACGGGAGGCAGCAGGUGGGGAAUCUUGCGCAAUGGGCGAAAGCCUGACGCAGCGACGCCGCGUGAGGGAUGACGGCCUU
rnacentral:rRNA from 1 species